rnacentral:rRNA from 1 species
UACAGAGGGGGCAAGCGUUAUUCGGAAUUAUUGGGCGUAAAGGGCGCGUAGGCGGCUUUUCAAGUGGCGGGUGAAAUCCCUCGGCUUAACCGAGGAACUGCCUGCCAGACUGAAUGGCUUGAGACCGGGAGAGGUGAGUGGAAUUCCCAGUGUAGCGGUGAAAUGCGUAGAUAUUGGGAGGAACACCAGUGGCGAAGGCGGCUCACUGGACCGGUACUGACGCUGAGGCGCGAAAGCGUGGGGAGCAAACAGG